rnacentral:lncRNA from 1 species
CUUGGCUCUGAAACAUAUGAUCUUAAGGUAUACCCUUUUUAACUCUUAUGUCCCGGUGUAUUCUGGAGCCCUGUAGUAAAUCUCUGGGCAGUAACGACUCCCUGCCGAUUAGAAUAGAUAAAAAGGUUCGUCGCAUCCACGUAAGUGCUGUCGACACAUCCAUUAUUCAGGUGUGUCCCCGUCAGUGAGUGAAGCUGGGUUCCUUCUAGAACAUUUACUUGGUUACAUGUUACCACAACUUAAGGUGGUUUGCGCAACUACACUGAAACUAGUCUCUUUCCCCCACUGCUUGGUACUUUGAUCUGCUCUUGUGAGUGUGGGAGGAAGGGGUGGAGUUACAAGGGGGUGUCCAGGGAAUUGUGCAUAAACU